rnacentral:rRNA from 1 species
AGUGAACGCUGGCGGUAGGCCUAACACAUGCAAGUCGAACGGCAGCACAGUAAGAGCUUGCUCUUACGGGUGGCGAGUGGCGGACGGGUGAGGAAUACAUCGGAAUCUACUUUUUCGUGGGGGAUAACGUAGGGAAACUUACGCUAAUACCGCAUACGACCUACGGGUGAAAGCAGGGGAUCUUCGGACCUUGCGCGAUUGAAUUAGCCGAUGUCGGAUUAGCUAGUUGGCGGGGUAAAGGCCCACCAAGGCGACGAUCCGUAGCUGGUCUGAGAGGAUGAUCAGCAACACUGGAACUGAGACACGGUCCAGACUCCUACGGGAGGCAGCAGUGGGGAAUAUUGGACAAUGGGCGCAAGCCUGAUCCAGCCAUACCGCGUGGGUGAAGAAGGCCUUCGGGUUGUAAAGCCCUUUUGUUGGGAAAGAAAAGCAGCAGGUUAAUACCCCGCUGUUCUGACGGUACCCAAAGAAUAAGCACCGGCUAACUUCGUG